GCCUGGGUGGCUCAGUCGGUUGAGCAUCCGACUUGGGCUCGGGUCAUGAUCUCGCGGUCCGUGAGUUCGAGCCCCGCGUCGGGCU
rnacentral:tRNA from 1 species